rnacentral:lncRNA from 1 species
AAGGAAGCCUGCAGAGGCCUAGGCUUUGUCGCCUGUGGCUCCCAGUGUCUGCAGAGCCAGCAUUGAGCUAAUCCUGUGGGAGGAUGAGAGCUGAUCGGCAGUUGUAUGAUAGGUUGGUAGGGGGCUUGUGAUCUGUGAAAUUCCAGGUGAUGGAUGCAUCCAGUGUGCAUCACUAAGAGGCCCUUUCCCAGUGGCCUCUGGCUGGCUGCAGGCUGGUUCCAGUGUGAAAGAUUAUACUGCCUUUUCUUUUUUUUAUUUUCCUUUUGAAAACAGACAACAAAAGACAACUGAAAAUAACUUCCCCAGUGAGCAGGCAAGAAUUCUCUUCUGAAAAAUGACGUUUGUAGUUCUUUCCCAAGUUGGCCUUCAAAGAGCCUGGCUGCAGUUGAGCCAGAAGGAGAUGUCUUGUGUGAAGGCUAAAGUGGAGGCUGUCUCUGAAAUCUCCGUGAGCAGGUGGCCCUAAGCCAUGGUGGUGGAUAGAUGUGCAGCUUUCUGCAUCUCUGCCCCUUGGUCUGUGCCCACAGGUGGCCGGCGUCAGCCUCCAUCCCGAGCACAUGCUCCGCGGGUCUUUAUGUCUCACUGUUCUUCACACAUAGGAGGAAAGAGAUAGGAGACUGAGGAAGGGAUGGACCCUGAGAAAGGGCCCCUCCAGCCUGGCUCUCACACAGUAUUUUGUCUUUGAUUCUGAAUAAAUUUUUUUUUGUGGUU